AGGAAGCUUGGCCCCACAGUGGUUUCGCCCCACACCUCCGCCCCACGGCGGCUCCUGCCCCACAGCUCCGCCCCAUAGCUGCCCCAUAGAUCCCCAUGGCUGCCCCAUAGCUGCCCCACAUCAACCCAUGAAGACCCCAUAGGAAGCUUGGCCCCACAGGGGUUUCGCCCCACACCUCCGCCCCACGCCGGCUCCUGCCCCACAGCUCCGCCCCACAGCUGCCCCAUAGAUCCCCACGGCUGCCCCACAUCAACCCAUGUAGACCCCAUAGGAAGCUUGGCCCCACAGGGGUUUCGCCCCACACCUCCGCCCCACGGCAGCUCCUGCCCCACAGCUCCACCCCACAGCUGCCCCAUAAGCGCCGCCCUGCCCCCUAAGUGCCGCUCUGCCCCACAGAUCAGCGCUGCCCCACGGAUCGGCCCUGCCCCACGGAUCGGCCCUGCCCCAUGGAUCGGCUCUGCCCCACAGAUCGGCUCUGCCCCACGGAUCGGCCCUGCCCCACGGAUGGGCUCUGCCCCACAAUAAAGUAGUGUUGGUAGUGAGCAGUGGUGGUUGUGGUCACUUGGGGGGCGAUGUGGGGCGAUGUGGGGCGCUGGGGGGGGGGUUCUGCCCUAUAGCGCGGCCCGGUGUGGGGCACAGAGGGGUCCUGCCCCAUAGCUUGGUGUGCUGUGGGGCGCUGGGAGGGGUUCUGCCCCAUAGCACAGCGGCGUGGGGCACUGGGGGGGGUUCUGCCCCAUAGCGCGGCCUGCUGGGGGGCACUGGGGGGGUUCUGCCCCAUAGCGCGGCCUGCUGGGGGGUGCUGGGGGGGGGCUCUGCCCCAUAGCGCAGCCCAGUGUGGGGCACAGAGGGGUUCUGCCCCAUAGCAUGGCCUGCUGUGGGGCGCUGGGGGGGUUCUGCCCCAUAGCGUGGCCUGCUGGGGGGCGCUGGGAGGGUUCUGCCCCAUAGCGCAGUCCGGUGUGGGGCUCAGAGGGGUUCUACCCCAUAGCGCAACCCUCUGUGGGGCACAGAGGGGUUCUGCCCCAUAGCGCGGCCUGCUGUGGGGCACAGAGGGGUCCUGCCCCAUAGCACUGCCUAUUGUGGAGCACAGAGGGGUUCUGCCCCAUAGCACGGCCUGCUGUGGGGCGCUGGGGGGGGUUCUGCCCCAUAGCAUGGCCUGCUGUGGGGCACAGAGGGGUCCUGCCC
rnacentral:lncRNA from 1 species